GUUAUAUAUAUGCACUAGAAUAGUCACAACUGUUAUGCAAUUGUUUUUAAAUCUCAAUUUGCUGAAAAUCCCGGGAUCACUGCAAGCUUGUGUAUCGCGCAUGAAUAGAUUACAAAAGUAGUUUCGGAAACAUGGUUUAUCGAAGUGUAAACUGAGAGAAAAAUUCUAAUUGACCAAUCCAAUUCAAGUAUUUAUAGAUAUGCAAAUCAUAUAAGAAUUAUAAAUUUCUACUUUGUAAACAUUCUCAUAUAUGGGCAUACACGAUUCAUAUCAUUAUUUGUAUGAAUCCUGUAAGCUGUAUUUGGUUUUGGAAUGAGGUGUUUUAUUCUUUGUUAGUAGAAAUACGAUGUGUAGAAAAAUUUACGGUUCGAGUAUCUUUUCAAAAGGGUGGUUUAGUAAAAAAAAAUUUGCUAUGAAAGAUUUAUUGAAAUCUGUGAUUUCUACAUUGAUAAUAUAUAUAGUAAUAUAUGACAAGACCAAUGAUAAUAUUAUAUGUUAUUCAGGUCUCAGACAGGGUAUAUACUGUGACAUUCCCGGCUUAGAGUUUAUAUCCCCUGAGUCGAAGGCAAAG
rnacentral:lncRNA from 1 species